CACAGCUACGACUCGGCUCCGAUCGAUAACUAAACGAGAAAAUCGUAUCGUUUCGACAAAAGUUUAUCGGUAGUGGCUUCGGCAGUUCGAAGAUUAGUUCGAACCGCCGACACCAGAUGCUGCAUUAUCACAAAUUCUAUUUUCGUAAAUUAUUUCUAUUGUCUCUAAUAAAGAAUGUCUGUUACAGUAAAUCGCCGACGGCGAAUUUUAAUAUUCUGGGACGAAUCGGCUCAUAUCGAAAACACUAUAUCGUUUUUAUCGACCUAAAUAAAUACGAAAAUAACGAUACUACUAACGACGUCGCGCCUGCGCAGACCGCGGACUUUUAUCGUUUGGAGCCGAGUCGUAACCUUGAUGGUAACUGUGACGAAACUCCCCUUUUUUAAUAUUUUAUUUAAAUAAACGAAUCUAAUAUUUAUUAAAUAUUUUACAAAUAUCGCACUUUUCGUAUCGACGACUAAAAAUAUUUCAUAAUAUUUUCUGCAAAAAUCCUCCUAAACGAAAUACGAAAAUAAAUAUAAUGAAAUACGGAUUAUUCGCCGACUCGAACGUAUUUUUAUGGCGGAAACUUAACUUUGAAACGUCGAACGUG
rnacentral:lncRNA from 1 species